GUCGUGAGAUGUUGGGUUAAGUCCCGCAACGAGCGCAACCCUUGUCCUUAGUUGCUACGCAAGAGCACUCUAAGGAGACUGCCGGUGACAAACCGGAGGAAGGUGGGGAUGACGUCAAGUCCUCAUGGCCCUUAUGGGUAGGGCUUCACACGUCAUACAAUGGUCGGAACAGAGGGCUGCCAACCCGUGAGGGGGAGCUAAUCCCAGAAAACCGAUCGUAGUCCGGAUCGUAGUCUGCAACUCGACUACGUGAAGCUGGAAUCGCUAGUAAUCGCGGAUCAGCAUGCCGCGGUGAAUACGUUCCCGGGUCUUGUACACACCGCCCGUCACACCAUGGGAGUGGGUUUUACCAGAAGUGGCUAGUCUAACCGCAAGGAGGACGGUCACCACGGUAGGAUUCAUGACUGGGGUGAAGUCGUAACAAGGUAGCCGUAUCGGAAGGUGCGGCUGGAUCACCUCCUUUCUCGAGCUCAAACGUUUUGAAGUGAAGUGCUAAAGCGCUCACGCUUAUCGGCUGUAAGAAGACAGGCUAAGGGUCUGUAGCUCAGUUGGUUAGAGCACCGUCUUGAUAAGGCGGGGGUCGUUGGUUCGAAUCCAACCAGACCCACCAUUUACUUUGUAAAUGCAGACCCUCAAGCAUCAAGGUACUUGGGGGAUUAGCUCAGCUGGGAGAGCACCUGCUUUGCAAGCAGGGGGUCGUCGGCUCGAUCCCGUCAUCCUCCACCAAUCACCAACGCAUAGCAUUCUUUAUAAAGAGAGUGAUUAUGCAUUGGCGAUUGAGCCAGUCAGUAAAUCAUUUAAGGCAUGGCGCUUUAGAUGAUGCUGUCGUUCUUUAACAAUCUGGAAGAAGUAGUAAAGAGAUUCACGAAAGUACACUUAGAGAUGGGUGUGUGAGUAGGUGAAUCAGGGUUGUGAUUGUAUCAAUGUAUGAAAAGGGGAAUCGAAAGAUUGCUCUUGGAAUACGGCGCAACACGAAUACUCAACCUGUAGCGGUGUGAAAGAGGUGUUCAAUUUAAUGGGCUUCGGUUUGUUGGGUUGGACCUCUCGGAGACACACUCGUUAUAGGGUCAAGCGAACAAGUGCAUGUGGUGGAUGCCUUGGCGAUCACAGGCGAUGAAGGACGCGGUAGCCUGCGAAAAGCGACGGGGAGCUGGCAAACGAGCUUUGAUCCGUCGAUGU
rnacentral:sRNA from 1 species